UACGUAGGGGGCAAGCGUUAUCCGGAUUUACUGGGUGUAAAGGGAGCGUAGACGGCGUUGCAAGUCUGAAGUGAAAGCCCGGGGCUCAACCCCGGGACUGCUUUGGAAACUGUAAUGCUGGAGUGCUGGAGAGGCAAGCGGAAUUCCUAGUGUAGCGGUGAAAUGCGUAGAUAUUAGGAAGAACACCAGUGGCGAAGGCGGCUUGCUGGACAGUAACUGACGUUGAGGCUCGAAAGCGUGGGGAGCAA
rnacentral:rRNA from 1 species